GCCUGGGUGGCUCAGUAGGUUGAGCGUCCGACUUCGGCUCAGGUCAUGAUCUCACAGCUCGUGAGUUCGAGCCCCACCUCAGGCU
rnacentral:tRNA from 1 species